AGAGUUUGAUCAUGGCUCAGAUUGAACGCUGGCGGCAUGCUUUACACAUGCAAGUCGAACGGCAGCGCGGGGCAACCUGGCGGCGAGUGGCGAACGGGUGAGUAAUAUAUCGGAACGUACCCAAGAGUGGGGGAUAACGUAGCGAAAGUUACGCUAAUACCGCAUACGAUCUAAGGAUGAAAGCAGGGGAUCUUCGGACCUUGUGCUCCUGGAGCGGCCGAUAUCUGAUUAGCUAGUUGGUGAGGUAAAGGCUCACCAAGGCCACGAUCAGUAGCUGGUCUGAGAGGACGACCAGCCACACUGGAACUGAGACACGGUCCAGACUCCUACGGGAGGCAGCAGUGGGGAAUUUUGGACAAUGGGCGCAAGCCUGAUCCAGCAAUGCCGCGUGAGUGAUGAAGGCCUUCGGGUUGUAAAGCUCUUUCGCACGCGACGAUGAUGACGGUAGCGUGAGAAGAAGCCCCGGCUAACUUCGUGCCAGCAGCCGCGGUAAUACGAAG
rnacentral:rRNA from 1 species